UCGAUGAAGAACGCAGCGAAAUGCGAUAAGUAAUGUGAAUUGCAGAAUUCAGUGAAUCAUCGAAUCUUUGAACGCACAUUGCGCCCGCCAGCAUUCUGGCGGGCAUGCCUGUUCGAGCGUCAUUUCAACCCUCAAGCUUCGCUUGGUGUUGGGGCACUACGGUUGACGUAGGCCCUCAAAAGUAGUGGCGGACCCUCCCGGAGCCUCCUUUGCGUAGUAACUAACGUCUCGCAUCGGGAUCCGGAGGGACUCUUGCCGUAAAACCCCCCAACUUUUAACUGGUUGACCUCGGAUCAGGUAGGAAUACCCGCUGAACUUAAGCAUAUCAAUAAGCGGAGGAA
rnacentral:rRNA from 1 species